AGUGAACGCUGGCGGUAGGCCUAACACAUGCAAGUCGAACGGCAGCACAGUAAGAGCUUGCUCUUACGGGUGGCGAGUGGCGGACGGGUGAGGAAUACAUCGGAAUCUACUUUUUCGUGGGGGAUAACGUAGGGAAACUUACGCUAAUACCGCAUACGACCUACGGGUGAAAGCAGGGGAUCUUCGGACCUUGCGCGAUUGGAUGAGCCGAUGUCGGAUUAGCUAGUUGGCGGGGUAAAGGCCAACCAAGGCGACGAUCCGUAGCUGGUCUGAGAGGAUGAUCAGCCACACUGGAACUGAGACACGGUCCAGACUCCUACGGGAGGCAGCAGUGGGGAAUAUUGGACAAUGGGCGCAAGCCUGAUCCAGCCAUACCGCGUGGGUGAAGAAGGCCUUCGGGUUGUAAAGCCCUUUUGUUGGGAAAGAAAAGCAGCAGGUUAAUACCCCGCUGUGCUGACGGUACCCAAAGAAUAAGCACCGGCUAACUUCGUG
rnacentral:rRNA from 1 species